ACCCGACCCCGAAGCUUCUGUCCGCCUGCACAAAGCCCUCGGGUUCGGUUCCUGGAGUGGGGUCUGCACGUGGGUCUGCGAUCCUGUGGAGGGGGACCGUGAGUGUACCCUGGGUCCCCCAACUGGGAUCCCUGGGAGAGUCACACGCUCACACACACACACAUACACCCUUAAACUUUGGGGCCAACUUUUUUGGACACAGGGGAAAACUAUAGGUGAGGGAAAGAAGCCAAAAAGCAAGAGGGGGUUCGGGUCUUCAACCGAAAAGGGGUCUAGUUCUUUAACUCCCUCGCUGGGAGAGACUUCUGGAGCCAGGCAUCUGUCUCGGGCUCAAGUUCCUGGCUGAGCUGGGCAGCCUUUGGACCCGCCCCAGGGCCAGGAGAUAAGGAUCACUUCUGGGUCUGGGAUCUGCACCCGAGUCCUGGCGCCCGCGGGGGCUUGGGCGCGGCAGCCACCUCUCGGAAUUCGCAGCCCCGGGGGCUGAGGUAGAGCCAGUUUCUAUCCUUGCUAGGUUUCGGAACGUGCUCGGGGGCUGCGGACAGAAAGAAUACCCUGCACCGGCAAGGCUGCACUCCCCACAUACUCCCCAACUGGCCUGGGCGAUAGUCUCGCAAGCAUUUUCUUUCCCUCAGUGAUUUAUAACUUGUUUAUUCAUCUUUGGUCACAGGAGAGAUUUCAAGCGCUAAAUAAGGGAGGUGAGUGUAAAGGACUCAGAAAGAAUGCGGUGCUGCAGAGGUCACGGUUGAGAGCCGGGCUCUGGGGGUUAGGUUCCCACCGGUCCAAUCUCUGUGUGACCUUGACCAAGCGCCGGGACCCCUCAGAGCCUUCGUUUCUCUCUUGUUAAACCCUUUUAGGAGAAGAAAUCUGUGGUCCGCAUCUUCCCGUAGAGUGUAAGCUCCAGGAGGGCAGUGAAGUUUGGUUUACUGAUGCAUUUGCAGUUCCUCAAACAGUGCCUGGUACCUGGUUAAUGCUCAAGUAUUUGGUGAGUGAAUCCUUCCCCCCAAAUGCACAUUUUUGUGUAACACCUUAGACUGAAAUCACAGAUUCCCCUACAAAUCACCAGUAAGCUUGACCUUGUAUGUUCCUCACUUCCGCAGCCCAUAUUCUAGGAUUGCUUACCAAGAAUUCCCCCACCUGCCUCCAAUCACUGGUCCCCUACCUCCUACCUCACUCCCACCUGGAGGAGUCCAAAGGAUGGGCAAGACCAAGUGGUUUGCGAUUCCUCCCACUGGCAGAGCACCAUCUUCCCUCUCCAGGAUUCCACGUGUUUCUGAGGCUGAGAAGAGGAAAGGACUUGGAAUUUAGCCCACUUCAGAUUUUAGAUGUGGAAUAACCCCCCAAAAAAGAAGGGAUACCUAAGGGUACAGACAGCAGGGUGGAGAGGUAUAGAGAGACAUAUUAUAACCCAGGAACAUAAAAAGAAGUAAUUUGAACCUCCAAUGCAGCUAAGACUGUCAGUUUUUCCAGACAUUAAGUUUAUGAUAUUCCCAGGCUCUCUGCUCCUCCUCUGACACUCUGUCUACUCUGUUUCUCCUGGUCCAGUUCCUGUGUCCCAGAUUGGAAACAACUUCAAGGCAGAAAUCAUAUCUAUCCUUUUCCAACCUUUGAAUCCUCAGCACCUAAACCCAUGCCUUGAGGGGAGUGUGCAUCAUACACACUUAAUGAAUGAAUGCAUGGAUUAAGUGUGAUCUUAAACUGGAUAAUAUAUGGCCUUUGACAUGAAGCCCAUUUAGAUUCAGUGGCUAGAACCGAUUUAUAGAUUGUUAUUUUGAAAGAGCUUAUAGUUAUCUUGGAGUAUAUUUUGCUUGAAUAGAUGUAAAGUGGGAUCCUAGUGUUCUGGCUUCUCUCACUUACGUUAUGACUUUGACAAUACAUUCCAGUGGACAAAAUAAUGCCAUAAAAUAUCUAACUUGGAGGUUUACCAUGUGUGCCAGGAUAAUUAUGUGCAUUAUUUUGUGUAAUCACUACAACAAUCGUGUGAGGUAGGUAUGUCCUUGACUUGCAUGAAUGACCUUGAUUUUACAAUUGAGGAAAGUGAAGCUAGGCAAGUAAAGAAACUUGCUGAAGAGCUUGGAAGUGAUAAAGCUAGGAUGUGAACCCAGAGGCACAAAGCAAAGCCUAUUCUCAGAACCACUGCACUCUGAAGGUGUAGGAUAUGGCCAUCCACCUCCUAGCAUAUUUGGGUACCAGCGUUCUUUGGCUCCUGAAUCUGCCACAUAGUGUGUGCAUAUCAAUUAAGUCACCCUGCUAUCUCUUCCCUUGAAACUGAAGGAAUACAGUGUUCCACUCCAGAAUCCAAUCUCCAGUUCCCCUUCUGUAGGCUCUGAAGAUCGAAUAAUUUACUGUAAUGUAAAGAGGACUAAUUUGCAAACAUUUCUAAAGUGUUUGGAGAUCUGUGGGCUCCGGUACAGGCGACGUGCCAAAUGGCCUUAUACUGUUAUUGCGGAAGCAUUUCAACAAUGAACUCUUAAUAAACACAGUGGAUCGAGAUAAGUAAACUGUGACACAAUAAACUCUGCACAGAUUAUGAUUUAAUUUUCAUAUAGCUAGUUCAACAAAGGGAAGAAAAAAAUCCACAAAUAUAAAUUGUACGUUGCUUUUCUUUCUCACAAAUAACAUUUCCUUUCAAAGUUUUCUAGUUGUGAGUAAAGAAAUCAUUAUUGUAGUCUAAAGUGGUAACUUACCUCCUUUUUCUGAAAAUGUGAAGAUGGGAGAUAAAUUCGUUGGUGUGGGGCAACAGAGGACGUGAAAAUUGGUUAUCUUUUAGUUUCUGAAGAAUGCCGUUGAGGAGUAUGUUAUAGAUAUCAAGGUAAAUAUUUCGUAUUCAAGAAAGGUAACUGAUGCCAAACUGGUAAUUUAGAGCAGAAGAUCAACAAAGGAGGUUAAAGCCCUGAGUUCAGAUUGAAGGAAACAGACAGUGAGGGCAACUUUCCAUGUCAUCUCCUGGAGGGGCUUUUAUGAUUCGCUUGAUAACUUGUUCUUUUCCUCACAGGGAGGCAGAUGGGUUUUUUCUGACCAGGGUACCCCUUCCUUUAGUCCUUUCAGCUAGGCAAGAAUAAAUAAAUGUUAAUUCUUGUGACCUUUCAAGACAUCACAUGUGAACUAUUAUUUUAGUACCCCAGAGGAGGAAGAGAGUUUAAUCCUGGCUAAUGUUCUGGUUCACUUCCUGGGAAACAAAUGAAUAUUGGUAACUGGAAGAUUUGAAAUUCGACGUUGGGUCCGAGAAAGCAAGAGAAACCGAAGAAUUUAUCGUGGGAAUCUCUCCUAAAAUUUCCAAAAUGUUCAGCCGUAAGGCACUGAUGGUACAGCACUAAAAGACACGCUAUUUUUUUUGCUGGAGGAAGCUUACCUCCUAAUUGAAUACUCAUUGGAUACUGAGACAAGAAAACAUACCAGUUCAAUAGUGUUGGGUCACUGAUGCCCAGGGAGUUUGGGAACCUCUGAUUCUGAUCACAGACUUCUUGAGGACAAGGAUUAUAUCAGUACCUUUUUCUGUGUUUAGUCCCUACCUCUUAGGAUUCUGGCACUCAGUCAGCUUUCAAUGACUGUAUGCUAAAUGCACAAUUCAACAAAUUAAUGGAAUUUACUGGUACAUAAUGUGAGUACAAAAGCAUUUGUUGAGUUUUUACUAAAAGCCAGCCUACUUUGUUUUUUUAAAAAA